rnacentral:rRNA from 1 species
CCUACGGGAGGCAGCAGUGAGGAAUAUUGGUCAAUGGACGAGAGUCUGAACCAGCCAAGUAGCGUGCAGGAUGACUGCCCUAUGGGUUGUAAACUUCUUUUAUAUGGGAAUAAAACGUUCCACGUGUGGUCUUUUGUAUGUACCAUAUGAAUAAGGAUCGGCUAACUCCGUGCCAGCAGCCGCGGUAAUACGGAGGAUCCGAGCGUUAUCCGGAUUUAUUGGGUUUAAAGGGUGCGUAGGUGGAUUGUUAAGUCAGUUGUGAAAGUUUGCGGCUUAACCGGAAAAGUGCCUUUGAUACUGGCAGUCUAGAGAAUAGUAGAGGUGGGCGGAAUGCAUGGUGUAGCGGUGAAAUGCUUAGAUAUCACGAAGAACUCCGAUUGCGAAGGCAGUUCACUGGACUGCAACUGACACUGAGGCUCGAAAGUGUGGGUAUCAAACAGGAUUAGAUACCCUUGUAGUC